UGGGGAAUAUUGGACAAUGGGGGAAACCCUGAUCCAGCGACGCCGCGUGUGUGAAGAAGGCCUGCGGGUUGUAAAGCACUUUCGGUGGGAACGAAGUAUGCCGGGCUAAUACCCCGGUAGGCUGACGUUACUCAAUGAAGAAGCACCGGCUAACUCUGUGCCAGCAGGAGCGGUAAUACAGAGGCCCCAAGCGUUAUCCGGAAUCACUGGGCGUAAAGGGCGCGUAGGCGGCAAUUCAAGUCAUCUGUGAAAUCUCCGGGCUUAACUCGGAACGGUCAGAUGAUACUGCUUUGCUAGAGUGCAGAAGGGGCAAUCGGAAUUCUUGGUGUAGCGGUGAAAUGCGUAGAUAUCAAGAGGAACACCUGAGGUGAAGACGGGUUGCUGGGCUGACACUGACGCUGAGGCGCGAAAGCCAGGGGAGCAAACGGGAUUAGAUACCCCGGUAGUCCCUGAGCGGGCUGGCAAGGCGCAU
rnacentral:rRNA from 1 species